AGUGAACGCUGGCGGUAGGCCUAACACAUGCAAGUCGAACGGCAGCACAGUAAGAGCUUGCUCUUACGGGUGGCGAGUGGCGGACGGGUGAGGAAUACAUCGGAAUCUACUUUUUCGUGGGGGAUAACGUAGGGAAACUUACGCUAAUACCGCAUACGACCUACGGGUGAAAGCAGGGGAUCUUCGGACCUUGCGCGAUUGAAUGAGCCGAUGUCGGAUUAGCUAGGUGGCGGGGUAAAGGCCCACCAAGGCGACGAUCCGUAGCUGGUCUGAGAGGAUGAUCAGCCACACUGGAACUGAGACACGGUCCAGACUCCUACGGGAGGCAGCAGUGGGGAAUAUUGGACAAAGGGCGCAAGCCUGAUCCAGCCAUACCGCGUGGGUGAAGAAGGCCUUCGGGUUGUAAAGCCCUUUUGUUGGGAAAGAAAAGCAGCAGGUUAAUACCCCGCUGUUCUGACGGUACCCAAAGAAUAAGCACCGGCUAACUUCGUG
rnacentral:rRNA from 1 species